rnacentral:tRNA from 1 species
GGCCGUGUCGUCCGCAUCGGAUUGAACGCCUUUGAACGACCCCGGAUUUGCCGCGACCAGCCAGGACGAACCUGCAAAGCGAGGCACGCGGGUUCAAUUCCCGCCACGGCUU